GCCUGGGUGGCUCAGAUGGUUAAGCGUCUGACUUCAGCUCAGGUCAUGAUCUCGAGGUCCUGGGAUCAAGUCCCACAUCGGGCU
rnacentral:tRNA from 1 species